rnacentral:sRNA from 1 species
CGCGCCUGCGGCGGGUCCGGCAGGGAUGUUUCCUAUGGCUUCGCAGGCAGCCCGUCCCUGUACGAUCUGGUACAUCCCAGAAUUUUCUGGGAUUUAAGGUUUUCU